rnacentral:rRNA from 3 species
AGACCCGAAACCCGGUGAUCUAGCCAUGGGCAGGUUGAAGGUUGGGUAACACUAACUGGAGGACCGAACCGACUAAUGUUGAAAAAUUAGCGGAUGACCUGUGGCUGGGGGUGAAAGGCCAAUCAAACCGGGAGAUAGCUGGUUCUCCCCGAAAGCUAUUUAGGUAGCGCCUCGUGAAUUCAUCUCCGGGGGUAGAGCACUGUUUCGGCUAGGGGGCCAUCCCGGCUUACCAACCCGAUGCAAACUGCGAAUACCGGAGAAUGUUAUCACGGGAGACACACGGCGGGUGCUAACGUCCGUCGUGAAGAGGGAAACAACCCAGACCGCCAGCUAAGGUCCCAAAGUCAUAGUUAAGUGGGAAACGAUGUGGGAAGGCCCAGACAGCCAGGAUGUUGGCUUAGAAGCAGCCAUCAUUUAAAGAAAGCGUAAUAGCUCACUGGUCGAGUCGGCCUGCGCGGAAGAUGUAACGGGGCUAAACUAUGCACCGAAGCUGCGGCAGCGACACUAUGUGUUGUUGGGUAGGGGAGCGUUCUGUAAGCCUGUGAAGGUGUGUCGUGAGGCAUGCUGGAGGUAUCAGAAGUGCGAAUGCUGACAUAAGUAACGAUAAAGCGGGUGAAAAGCCCGCUCGCCGGAAGACCAAGGGUUCCUGUCCAACGUUAAUCGGGGCAGGGUGAGUCGACCCCUAAGGCGAGGCCGAAAGGCGUAGUCGAUGGGAAACGGGUUAAUAUUCCCGUACUUGGUGUUACUGCGAAGGGGGGACGGAGAAGGCUAUGUUGGCCGGGCGACGGUUGUCCCGGUUUAAGCGUGUAGGUGUGUGUUCCAGGUAAAUC